ACGUCGCAGCACCAUGCAACCAUGCAAAGGUUUCCGCCUUCCUCAUUAAAACAAACGAGACGGAUCCCCCGCUCAAAGACGAGAAGGAUCCCGUCACCGCCUCUCCUCGUCCGCCCCCGCCCUCCUCCCUCCGCCUUCUUCGCUUCCUCCGCUCCCACACCCGCCAUCGCUUCUCCGAGACCGAUCUCUCGUCACCCUCAAGGUCUUCUCCGCGCCCUCGCGACUUUCCAGUCACUUCCGUCCAUCUUCCGCUGCAAGCCUGGUGUUCGCUCCCACAACGCCCUCCUCGACGCCUUCGUCCGGGGCCGCCACUGGGACCAGGCCGAGUCCUUCUUCGCCUUAUUCCAUAGCCACGCGCGCGUUUCUUCUAACCUCCAGAGCUACAACAUUCUCACCCGAGGCCUCUGUGACCGGAGGCUGCUUGAUCCAGCGACUUGGACGACGCCCUCAAACUGUUCGACGAAAUGUGCGAUAAAAAUGUGACGCCCGAUGUGAUGUUCUAUAAUUUUCUGAUUACUAGGGUUUUUGAAGAAAGGCGAGUUCUUGAAGGGAAUGGAGAUCAUGGAGAGGCUGGUGAGGGACAGCACAGUCAGUCCAAAUGUUGCCAUGUAUACCGUCAUGCUGGUGAGGGCUCAUUCACUUGUGGAGUUUUGAUUCAUGGCCUGUUGGAGUCAGGGAAUGUGGAGGGGGCCUCGCCCCUCUAUGCAGAGAUGAUCAAGACAGGAUUUGGCUGUCACGUGUAACUCUCUGCUAAAUGGGCUCCGCAAAGCAGGGAGGCUACAGGAGUUGUUGACGCUCUGGGAGUCGAUGGGAAGGCAGGGAAUUGCCAAAAUUGUCAGUUACAGCACAUCGAUCAGGAGACUGCAUGAGAAUGACAAAGCAGAUGAAGCAGUUUCUCUUUGGGAAGCUUUCAGGGGGCUAAUGCAUGCCCUCCAGACCUGGUAACUUAUGGUGUUUUGAUUCCUGAAUUGUGCAAAAAGGGUUAUAUCAACAAAGCAUUGCGGAUUUUGAAGGAGGCAUAAUAAGAUGGAGAGAAAAACUUAGAUGACUUCAUGUUCUCCUCAAUAAUUAACAGAUUGUGCAAAGAUGGGGGAUUGGAUGAAGCAAUUUGCAUUUGUGAUCAAAUGGCUAAACAUGGCUGCCGAUCAAAUUCUCAUACAUAAAAUGCACUGAUCAGUGGUUUCUGUCGAGCAUCUAAGAUUGUUGACACCAUCCAGGUUUUCAAGGGGAUGGUCAGCAAUAGUUGCACUCCUACUAUUGUAACAUACUUCACACUUACAGAUUGAUAGUGUAAAGUGGUGAGGUUCCGGGAGGCUUCUAGCUUAGCAAGAGAAAUGAUGGAAAAAGUUUUCAAACCUGACGUGGUGACAUACAGCUGUUUAAUGGAUGGACAAGAUUGAUGUUGCUCUUGACAUUUGGAACCAAGUUCUUGACAAUGGUUUCCAAGCCGGUGUCAUCAUGCACAACAUUCUUUCAAUGGCCUUUGCUCUACAGGGAAAGUGGAAGAAGCCCUGCAUGUUUGCUUGGAGAUGAAACAGAAAAAGUGCACUUAAAAUCUAGUGAGACACAACGUGCUUAUGGAUGGACUUUAUCGAGUUGGUGACUGUGAAAGGGCAUCAGAUGUACAGGUCCAGAUGUUAGAGGCUGGAUUGGAACCAGAUAUCAUUUCUUAUGACAUAAUGUUUAAAGGUCUUUGUUCUUAUAAUAAGAUAUCCAAAACAGUCAAGUUAUUGGAUGAUGCCUUGUGUUGUGGCAUUAUUCCAACUUCCAUUACCUGGUGUAUACUAGGUAAGGCAAUCAUCGGCAGCUGACCAGUUCCAACAUGAUCACUACGAAGAUCUAGUGCAAGAAACACUUUAGUGUGGCAUUGUGUUCUUUGCAUGCAUGUUGUGCUAAUACUCUGGGACUUCGUGAUUGAAAAUUGCUGAUAAUACGGACCAGGAAGAUAACUGAUUAUUUGAAGGACAUUAUAUCCUUUUAAGCACCGAAGGACCAGUGGAUACAGUUGAAUUGCAUGUUUUAGUAGACCUGGAUGCACGUGGUUUUUAUAGCAGAGUUGGAUGCACGCAGUUUUCAUAUUGAAUGGAGCUAUUUGUGGGGCUUGACAUACCCAUUUAUUUGCUGUAGUAUUACCUGUGGGUUAGGGGCAUCCAUCAUUUGCGGGAGAAAAAAAAAAAAGUGGUCUGAAUUUGCAAAAACAGGAACAAAGUGGAUUGCUUCCGCAAGAUUCCUGAGAAUAUACAGAACAGACAAUACUCGGCUCUGCUCGUAAAUGUACUGAGCAAGCAGGCCAAAAAAUAUCAAGCCCAAUGCUGCAACUUUCCUCCAUUCCACCUCAGGAGUAGCGAGCACAGCAUUUCCUAUUGUGACGAGUAGCAAUGACAUGAGGGCAAGGUGCCUUUUCCCGCAGGUUCUUGAAGAACAGGCCUUCAUUUCGGUCCCGCUCGAUCUUGUCCUCAAAGUCCUCCAAGAUCCUCUCGUUCUUUUCAAUCUCCUGUUUGCUAAUUUCUGCGGUUUCUUCAAAAGCCUGCAUCCGAUUCUCCAGGUUCUCCAUGAUCUGCUACAUCAGAAAAAAUCACUGUUAUUUGGAGGAGGGAUAGCAGAUGCUGUCAUGCACUUCGAAUGCAAGAAAAAAAAAAAAA